rnacentral:rRNA from 1 species
AACGAACGCUGGCGGCAUGCCUAACACAUGCAAGUCGAACGAGACCUUCGGGUCUAGUGGCGCACGGGUGCGUAACGCGUGGGAACCUGCCCUUAGGUUCGGAAUAACUCCCCGAAAGGGGUGCUAAUACCGGAUAAUGUCUUCGCACCAAAGAUUUAUCGCCUUUGGAUGGGCCCGCGUUGGAUUAGCUAGUUGGUAGGGUAAAAGCCUACCAAGGCGACGAUCCAUAGCUGGUCUGAGAGGAUGAUCAGCCACACUGGGACUGAGACACGGCGCAGACUCCUACGGGAGGCAGCAGUGGGGAAUAUUGGACAAUGGGCGAAAGCCUGAUACAGCAAUGCCGCGUGAGUGAUGAAGGCCUUAGGGUUGUAAAGCUCUUUUACCCGGGAUGAUAAUGACAGUACCGGGAGAAUAAGCUCCGGCUAACUCCGUG